rnacentral:rRNA from 1 species
AGAGUUUGAUCCUGGCUCAGGAUGAACGCUAGCGGGAGGCUUAAUACAUGCAAGUCGAGCGGCAAGGUCUUCGGACCCUAGAGCGGCGCACGGGUGAGUAACGCGUACGCAAUCUGNCCCUUCAGUGAGGAAUAGCCCUGGGAAACUGGGAUUAAUACCUCAUAAUAUUAUUUGUUCGCAUGGACGAAUAAUUAAAGUUCUGGCGCUGAAGGAUGGGCGUGCGUCUGAUUAGCUUGUUGGUAGGGUAACGGCCUACCAAGGCUACGAUCAGUAGGGGGCGUGAGAGCGUGGCCCCCCACACGGGUACUGAGACACGGACCCGACUCCUACGGGAGGCAGCAGUAAGGAAUAUUGGGCAAUGGAGGCAACUCUGACCCAGCCAUCCCGCGUGAAGGAUUAAGGCCCUAUGGGUUGUAAACUUCUUUUGUUUGGGAAGAAAUCUGGACAUUUAUGUGCAGCUGACGGUACCUUACGAAUAAGCACCGGCUAACUCCGUGCCAGCAGCCGCGGUAAUACGGAGGGUGCAAGCGUUAUCCGGAAUCACUGGGUUUAAAGGGUGCGUAGGCGGUUUGAUAAGUCAGAGGUGAAAGCUAGCAG